rnacentral:pre_miRNA from 1 species
AAUAGUUUUAUACCACAUCAGCAUUUUCAUUCUAAGUUUCAGUAUUUUUCAUCUUGAAAAAAAUUAAAUCCAAAUAAAAAUUUUGAAAUUCAGGAUGAAAUUGCUGAUAUAGCAUAAAACUAUU